GACGGAGGAUGCAAGCGUUAUCCGGAAUGAUUGGGCGUAAAGCGUCCGCAGGUGGCAGUUCAAGUCUGCUGUCAAAGACCGGGGCUUAACUUCGGAAAGGCAGUGGAAACUGAACAGCUAGAGUAUGGUAGGGGCAGAGGGAAUUCCUGGUGUAGCGGUGAAAUGCGUAGAUAUCAGGAAGAACAUCGGUGGCGAAGGCGCUCUGCUGGACCAUAACUGACAUUCAGGGACGAAAGCUAGGGGAGCGAAUGGG
rnacentral:rRNA from 1 species